UGUGAACCUACCCUUCACGUUGCUUCGGCGGGUCGGGCGCUGUGCCGCCCCUCCGGGCGACCCGGGGCUCCCCAAAGGCCCCGGGCCCGCCGCCCGCCGGAGGUACGCAAACUCUUGUUCAUUGUACGGCCUCUCUGAGUGAAGUACUGAAUAAGUCAAAACUUUCAACAACGGAUCUCUUGGUUCUGGCAUCGAUGAAGAACGCAGCGAAAUGCGAUAAGUAAUGUGAAUUGCAGAAUUCCGUGAAUCAUCGAAUCUUUGAACGCACAUUGCGCCCGCCGGUAUUCCGGCGGGCAUGCCUGUUCGAGCGUCAUUUCAACCAUCAAGCCCUGGGCUUGUGUUGGGGACCCGCGGCUGCUCGCGGGCCCUGAAAAGCAGUGGCGGGCUCGCUAGUCACACCGAGCGUAGUAGAACUUCUAUUCGAUCUCGCUCAGGGCGUGCGGCGGGUGCCAGCCGUAAAACCCCAGCUUCUUCUAAGGU
rnacentral:rRNA from 1 species